UGCCCCUGGUGAGUGGCUCACUGGCCCCAGGGAAGGCCCGUCCUUCCAGGAAGGCGCAGGACGGCUCUCGGGCCCCCUCCCGCAGUGGCGUCGGAGGAAGUCUGGCAGGAAGGGACCACACGGAAUGAAAUUAAACGGAGAGCCAGUCUGGGGCUAUCUGGAUGGCACAGGCGUGGAGAGAGAGGGCCAGACAGGGGAUGCUGCAGGAGCAGGGUCCAGGGUGGGAGACCCCGUGCACCCCCUCCCCACUGAGGGAGACACCCCGGAGUCCCACGGACAGAGGGGGAAUUGCCAGGUUGAGAACUGGUCCGCAGCCCGACGGCAGAGUGUGACGCUAGGGAAAGGCCAGGGUCACUGCCCACGUCCUCACGGAGACAAGCAGCCCAUCUCGUAGGUGAGUGGAGGGCAGCUGUCUGAACACGGGUCUGUGUCUCCGCUAAUCUCUCUGCCUGCCUGCAGCUCGGUGGGGCCCUGGCAGGUGUAAGUGUGGAUCUACUUGUAACCUGUGCCUCCUGGACCCCAGGACCCCAGGGAGCAGUGAAUCCAACAGGAAAAGAGCCCAGUGCCUAUCUUCUCCCCAUGGCUGGUCCUUGGUGCCGCGGUUCCGCAGCCUUCCUGGAACACACCUGAGCCGGGACCUGCAGUGCUCCCAGGAACACACCUUGGUCUCCAGCUGGUUGAACACCUGGCGCCCUUGUCGGUUCCCCGUCACCAGCCUGCUCCGCGUCUGGCAGCUGGGACAAAUGCGACCGCGCAUCCAAAGCUUUCCAGCGCCUCUGCACACCUGUGAGGGGGCAGGAGACCCGGCACUAGAAGGCCAGCCUCUGAGGCUGAGUGGUUUCCUGUGUUUCCUGUGUCAGAGCCGCCUCAGCAUGAAGAAGCCCGUGAUUGAUUGGCCGUGUCUGCCGUGGCUGCGUCCUGGGAGGUGGUGGGGAGCGCGCCAUGUGGCGGGCUUGCUGGCAUUCAUCAUGCCUCUGGCAAGGGCCGCGUGGGGAAAGACCCCGUGCCCCGUCACCCUGGGACUGCAGCUUCUCUCUCUCUCUCUUUCUCUGAUUUUGGAAGAUGCACACUUACAAAGCCACUCGUCACCGGUGGUCAUCUAGGUCCCUUUCCUGCACUCCAUAUGGCCUGUGUGCCUCCAGCAAGCACGGAGCCCCCGGAGCGCCGCUGCCACAUUCUCAAAACAAAGAUAAAGCUGCUGGGUUGAGACGAGGUGGCACACAUUAAAUUCCUCUCCAUUUAUGGCAAAAAAGGAUUUUUUUUUUUAAAUUAAAAAACUCAUAGCAGCAUUACAUGGCUCAGAAAGAGACAGCAGUAGGCAGAGAAUAGGUCCUGGGGUGGCUGAUCUCCAGGACUUGAACAGGUAGAUGCCGCAGGAGGUCCAAGCCGUUCAGAGUGUUGGAACCAAAGAGCCUCCCAUCCUGAUUUUACGAACUCCCUGCCAAGGGACUUCACCAUUUCCCAUUCCAAUGUCAUCCUCAUCAAAGUAAGUUGUUCCUUCCGUCUAACCUAAAUCCCACUGGCUUUCUAUUCAGCCUCUUUCUUCUUGUCCCUCCUUCGGUGGAGCUGGACAACACUGGCACAAGGGCGUAUGACACUGGCCUUGUAGCCGGGAUGCCUCAUGGAACCGGGAGGGGGAAAAGCCACAGGCUCAGACCCUCACGGUGCGCACAAGCCCAAGAACCCUGACUCUGAGGCUGGGGCUGUGUCAGCACUUGGCCCC